rnacentral:rRNA from 1 species
CCCAAUUAAAAAGGGAAGUGAAUUUUUUCCACCACACAUUUCCUUAUCGUCACUACCACACUCAUCUCUUACUCUCUCUCCAUCUUAUCUUGGUUCCUGGUGCGCACAAACCAUAGCAGCGCUUUCACUUGCAUUCUAGAAGAAGAAAAUUUGAGCAAGGAUAUAGCUGCGCUGCCCACAUGCAAGGAGUCUGACUGCGAAAGAGGAACGCCAGCUGCUUGGGGAGCUCGCCGCGAGUCUGACAACCAAAGAGGCGUGCGACUUUGCGUAGCCGCGGGGAGCUUGUCCAGGCCCACAUGCCCAGGGGAAGGCCGGUGCAGGUAGUCAGCGGCGACGCAUCAGUGGCCUGGACCAGUGCGUGCGUGCAACCACGCGGGAGGAAGAAGGUCACCAGCUUCACGGUGGUAAGUCCAUCGCCAUACAUGAGUAAGAAGGCGUACACAGGAGGCCAGGGGCGAUGGCGCGCGGCAAGCCGACGGCUGCACGCAGAGUUUUAUCAGGUGGUUAACUCCAGAAGUCCGGGGGUUGGCGCCCGCAGGUGGAUGGACGGCCGCACACACAGGAAUCCGGGCGACGAGACCCCGUCUAGGAGGUGCGGGCUGCCGUUGGUGGUCGUCUUCCAUGACCGCGGCGGCGGUUGGUUUUUUCUUUCUUUUUCCGCUCCCGUUUCAGUUUAUGUUCCUACCUAUUGUCUAAAUAUAUUAAGAGAGAUCUACAGUCUAACGAGGAGUUGGAUCGGCGUAAAGAACAAGACAAACGUGAUAUUAUCUCUAUAAGGAUGGUUACGAGGCUCUGCUCUUUUUUUCUUUAUUCAAUAUCUAUUUUUGUUUCUUCUAUUCUGC